rnacentral:lncRNA from 1 species
GAUAAACUGGGUGUGGAGUGUAGGGAGGAUGAACUGGUGGAGAGUGGUAAACUGGUUUUGGAGUGUAAGGAGGGUGAACUGGUGGUGGAGGGGAUGAGUAUUUGUAUGGCUUCUUUGGUGGUGGUGGAGAGUGGUAGUAGGGCUUAGGGCUGACGUGAUGCACUGGUGGAGGAGGAGAGGAAUAUUUGUAUGGCUUCUUUGGUGGUGGUGGGGAAUGGUAGUAAGGUUUAGGGCUUAACAUGCACUGGUGGUGGAGGAGAAGAAUAUUUGUAUGGUUUCUUUGGGGGUGGUGGAGAAUGGUAGUAAGGUUUAGGGUGGACAUAUGGUGGAGGAGGAGAAGAAUACUUGUAAGGUUUCUUUGGUGGUGGUGGUGGUGAACUGUAAUGGUAGGGAGGAGGAGGUGUAUAAACGGUGGGGGUGGAGAGUGGUAGUAGUAUGGUUUCUUAGGUGGUGAGUACACUGGUGGUGGUGGUGAAGAGUAAUGGUAAGGUGGUUUAACUGGAGGGUACACCCCCGGUGGUGGGGAAUGUGGAGGGUACACCUUAGGUGGUGGUGGAGAACUAUAAUGGUAAGGUGGUGAGACUGGUGGAUACACCUCAGGUGGUGGUGAAUGUGGAGGGUAUUUCUUAGGUGGUGGUGGGGAAGAGUAAUGGUAAGGUGGUUUAACUGGUGGGUACACCUUGGGUGGUGGUGAAUGUGGAGGGUACACCUUAGGAGGUGGUGGUGAAGAGUAAUGGUAAGGUGGUGAAACUGGAGGAUACACCUUAGGUGGUGGUGAAUGAGGAGGAUACUUCUUAGGUGGUGGUGGUGAAGAGUAAUGGUAAGGUGGUGAAACUGGAGGGUACACCUUAGGUGGUGGUGAAUGUGGAGGGUACACCUUAGGUGGUGGUGGUGAAGGGUAGUGGUAAGGUGGGGAAACUGGAGGGUAGACCUUAGAAGGUGGAGGAGGUGAAGAAUACAAGUAGCUGUUUGCUGAAAUUUGAGAUGUAUGGAGAGAGACACUAUUAUGGCUAAUAGAAGAGUCAAAGUGGCAGAGGCCAUUGGAGACCUCAUUUUUUUUUUUUUGUUCUCUUGUUGCCUUAACCUCACUAGAUAGUGGGAUUUUGAUAUGCUAUAAUGUAACCAAGUGAUGCCCUUUAUAUAGAUCUUUUAUUUACCUACUAGUACUAAUCAUGUUGGUUGGUAACUUUGUUUUCAACUUGUCAAAAUUUUGUUGCCAAUAAGGCGUUGCCGUAUCUUUUUUUAAUUAAAAGUCAAUAAUAUUCAAACACAAGUUUUCAUUAAACAAAAACUAACUUACUUUUCUGAAUAGGUUGAUUUAAUUGGAAAAAAGGGAGGAUAAUUUAUACAAAAAGAGAAGUUGUAUUCCCUAUAUUCGGUAUCAUAAAAAGAAGAGAAACAAUUAUUAAAGCAAAUUUUGGUUAUUUUAUUUUAAUCAAUUUUUUAAAAUUAUUAAAAUGGACAGUGUUUAAUUAAACCAUUUUUUACCUCAAUAUCCCAAGUGAGCUUUGGAGUGCGUAUUUGGAUUUGAUGUAGGCUGCAAGCUUUUAGCAGGAAAUAAAAUAUCUUGAAAUAUCUCAAAAUAAAACAAAAUGGACAGAAAUCCGUAAGUGUAGUUCAGUUGAUAGCUACCAGAGAUAAUGUUUAUAAGGGUUGGGGUUCAAAUCCCAAAUUCCCCACACUAGACUAUUGAAAAAAAAAAAAAAAAAAAAGACAGAAAAUAUAAAAUGUGUUAAAUUGAUGUAGAUUAUUGGAGGUGUUAAAAAAUCAUCAUUGUAUUCUAAUGCCUAAUUUAUCUUCUCCACAUAUCUUUUACUGUUCUUGAAAAAUGCAUGCAUAGAGACCUAACUUCGUGCUAUAUUCGUCUGUCCCUUGAAGACUUUUCAAAAAGACUCGUACACCAGGGCCCAUAUGCAUGGCAUAGCAGCCUCAAUUAUAGGACGAUAAUUUUACGUGAAAUUUUUAUUAUUACUUUAUACAAAUAUUUAUUUAUUUAUUAAAAUUUUACAUAUUUACUUUUUUAAAGUAUAGACAGAAAUUUUUUCAUUUAAGUAAAAUUAAUUUCGAUGUUAUUAAUUCAUUUCCUUUCAUCCUAUCAAAUUAAUGAAUACUAUCCUUGUUGGUAGGCAGAGUCUAGAAUAUUCUAGAUUAGUAUAUACACUUCUAGCUACCUAUCACAAAUUUUGCAUGCAUUUAAAUGAUUUAUCAUGGCAUCGUCUCAGGCUUGGUCCUUUUCAGAUAAAGACAAAAGUUAUGUCUCUGUUUACUUUUAAGCCAAAGUUUUUUUUUACUCUUGUGUAAAGUAAAGUAUAUGACUUUUGAUAUACGGAUAGGAUUCUGGGUUCAAUUGGAUAUAAUUUACCCCGAGGUAUAUAACUAUUUUCUUAUAUUGUUGUUGCUUUUCUAAAACUAUCAAUAAUGAAAGAGAAAUGAUAUUUGUACAACCAUUUUUUAUAAUUUUUAGAUAAAAAUUUCUCUUUCAUAUUCACAUUAUAUUCUUACCCUCUCUCUUCCUUUUUCUCUCUCCUUUGUUUUUAACCAAUGAAAAAAGAGAAAAAGAAGGUUGUCAAAAAGGUUGUACCAAAUGGUUGUUCAAAUAUCAUUGCUCUAAUGGAAAGGUCUUAAUAUCAUCUUUAUUUAGUCUCGUUUUGGAAAAGUGAUUUAAAAUCUGAUCCGAUCAUAACGAUUUUUACAUAAUAACAUAGAAACGCAUAAAAAAAAUAUUCGAUUUUUUAUGAUUUUUUUGUUUUUUGAUCGAUUUGCAGUUUUAUUUUGAAUCGGCUUGUAUUUGAACACCCCUACUUCUUACUCAUCCACACAAGGUAACUCGAAUCAAGGUUGAGAAGAAUAAUUAUUUGUUGAAUCUACCAUUUGUGGUGGACUAAUCUUUUAAAUUUCUCGUAAUAGUUCUUUUUACUUUCAUUCAGGUAUUCCUUAUCUGUUUCUGAUGUAACUUGAUUUUUCUCUUUGCUUCUCUCUAGUAUACUUUGUGUAGGGCAAGAAGUAAAGAGGUUUAGUUAUGGAAAUUCCAUAUUAGCUUUUUUAAAAUAAAAAAAAAUAGAACAAUUUGUUUCACCAUUUAAUUUUUAUAAUUAUAUUAUAAAUAGAGAGAUUAAAGUAAAGUUGACUAAAAAAUUCGAGUAGCUAAUAAGCUCGUACUUCCUCUAAUUCUUAUUAUACGAGAAAAUUUGUUUUUCAGAUUCAUUCACUAAAUAAUGUACCAUGUUUCUAAUAUAAAAUAAAUACAUCAUUUAUUGAAUCUAAAAAAUCAACUUUCUUUGAUAAUUGAGACCCAGGGUAGAACAUGGCAAGGGUUGAUUAUAGAAAAAUGCUAAAGAGUGUCUACACUUAAAAUGGUAAGAAAUUUUGAAAAUCUAUAUAACUAUUGCAUUAGAAAUAAAACUCUUUGACUUUUUAAUGAAUUUCUAAAUUAUAAAUUAUUAAAAAAUGUCAUAGAGACACUUGUUAGCGAUAUGAUCUGUUAUACUCUAUAGGUCGCGUCCUUUUUUUUUUUUUUGACAAGUGGGUCGCGUACCUAUUCUUAAUCAAUCAAAAAUAUGUUGGAUAACAUAUUUAAUUCACCGUUGAACAAGAAUAAUGUUUUUUUAUUUAUUGUAUCAAAGAAUAAUGUAUUUUAUUCACCGUACUAAUAUUAUAAAAAAAAAUAAAAAAAAUCGACCGUCGUUCUUUUAAUUUUUCUGUCCUAAAAAAAUACUCAGUUUAAACGAGCAAGCAUAUAUUUUCAAUAUCUAAUUUUUUUCUCAAUUUAUAUUCCACUCAUAUCAUAUCAUAUAAUAUACUUAUUUUUGGUCAAAAAAAAUAUAAUAUACUUAUUUAUAACAUUAAUCACAUCGUUGACUUAUUUCUUUCUCUUUCAAGAUACUGAGGAGAUUUUCUUUAUAAAAAAAAAAAAAAAAAAAUCCAUAUUGAGGAGAUGUAUGCAUAUGUACACAAAUCAUUAAAAGUGUAAUUGAGUUGUGUAAAACACAAAAAACUGCAGAGAUGGGAACAAAUAAAUUAAUAGAAACGGCAGCUUAGUUCAUGCUCUUACAUCAGUAAAAAAUUAGGUGGGAGUUAUUAUUUUUCCACAGAUUAGCAUAUAUAUACCCCACAGGUCCAUAUCAUUUUUCCCCUUAAAAAAAGUCCAUGUUACUUUUGUUUCAAUGUAUCCAAACUAGGAAAAGUCCGGAAAAUUAGAUUUUACCUAGGCAACAACACAUCACCAUUAAUUAUUUUUUCCAUUUUUUUAGUUUUCCAUGUUUUAAGAUUUUUUAUCUUUACUAAAAGAAUCAAUAAAUUCUAAUAUCUAUCUCAUUACACCUAUUUUUUUGUUACAUGAGAUAAAAAAGAACAAAGACACAAAAAAAUGAAAAGAAAAAAAUUAUGCCCUAAUAAAGUACACAUCAACCUUAUCCCCGUGAGCUUAACUCAGUUGGUAGGGAUAUUGCAUAUUAUAUGCAAGGGCCGGGGUUCGAACCCCGGACACCCCACUUCUCCACAAUUAAAUUGUGUGAACUCUAGCCACUAGACUACUUGACCAAAAAAAAAGUACACAUCAACCGUGUCAAGUAAUAAAUUAAGCCCUAAUAAGAAGAAAAAAAAAACAAAAAAUUAAGCCCUAAUAAAUUCCAAUAUCUCAUCACAACUAUUUUUUACGAGGGAAACAUGUCUAAUGUAGAUAAAAUAUAAUUGGUGCAAGUUUGUGAAUUUAGAUUAUGUUUUUUAAGAAGGUAAACUAAAUUAUCAAAAUUGACAUAAAAGAUAAUCAAACAUGAGACUCGAAAUAUACUUUCACAGUUUUUAAAAUUUCAAUUCAAAUUUAGAUUAUAUUCGAUUACAUCUAGAUCACAAAAGUAUAAAUUGAAAAAAUAUAAAAAAAAAAAAAAAAAAACUUUCUAAGAGCAUUACAACUUUAAUGUUAGAGGUGGCCUUUAAUUUGUUUAACCGUGUGUAGUUUUUGUUUUGUUUCGUUUUUGUUUGUUUUUCAUCCUUUUAUUUUGGGUUAGAUUUUUCUUCUCCUUGUAUUUUUUUUUUCUCAUUUAUUUUGAUAUAUUUUAAAAUUAUAAAGAACAACAGCAAUAAUAAUAAAUUAAUUGCCCUUAAAACAUUUUAAAACCGUCACUAGCAAGUUAAGGGAAGUCACCAACCACACAAUAAUGACCCUUAGGAUAGUUUAUUGAUUUAAGUCAUCAGAAGUAAGAAGAAAGAAGAAAGGGAAGGCACCAACCCAAACAAUGAUAUUCGAUGAUCAUGACUAAAAAAGGUUUAACUUUCAUAUCCAACCCCUGCAUAUGCAUAUGCUUGACUUUAAUAUUGGGAUAUGAUCCAAUAUUUUGCAUCAUGCAUAAGUUAUUUUUUUCAUCGUUAGAUAAAAAAAAUGUCACACCAUUGCACCAAAAAAAAUCACAUUAAAUUUAAGGGUUAAAUAUGUUAUUGGUCCCUAUAAAUAUACCAAUUUUUCGUUUUAGUCUCUCUAAAAUUUUCCUUCAACUUUUAGUCCCUAAAAAAUUUUCCAUCUUCACUUUUGGUCCUUCUUUUAAAGUAAACUCAUAUGUAGAAUUCAUAUUUUUGAAUCAAAUUUUUCAGAAAAAUUCAUAAUAUUAUAAGAAUCUCUCCCAAAAAAAUUAGAACUUUUUAACAAAACAUGAAUUUAAUAUGAAUUUUUAUAUUAUUUAUGGUUAAAAAUUCAUAUAUAAUUUAUGUUUACUUAAAAAAUUCUAAUUUUUUUUUUGAAAUGUUUUUACAAUAUUCUACACAUUUGUGUACAAUUUCAUUAAAAAAAAAAUACUAAAAUUUACUUUGAAAUAGGGACCAAAAGUAGUGACUCAAAAUUUUACAGGGACUAAAAGUUGAAGGAAAAUUUAAGAGGGACUAAAACGAAAAGUUGCUAUAUUUAUAGGGACCAAAAACAUAUUUAACCCUAAAUUUAAUAGUAAAAUAUAUUGAUCCGAUAAUAAAAACUAAUUUAUGUAUGUUGUAAAAUUUGUUUCAUUUAUAUACAGUAGGAUUGACAUAUCAUUUGCUAGAGUAAUGUUUCUUGGACACCUUAUAUAUGUAUGGCACACUUAUUUUACACUAAAAAAUAAAAUAUUUAAUAUAUAAAAACUGUUUUUUUUUCCUUCGAAAUGAUAAAAAUUGUUUAUUUUUUAUAAUAAUAUCACUUAUGGUGGAAGACGGCCGAAAACAUGCCAUAACAUAGAGCUCCAUCGACCAUCGAAACUUCACCAUCGAUCAUCGUUGAGUCACUAAAGCUCUUCCACCGACCACCUUGGAUCGUUAGAACUCCACACCAUCGGCCAGCCACCAUCAAUAUUGAGGUGUCAAACAAGUGUCCCUAUAUAUGAACCGUUUACAAAGGAAGAAACAUAACAAUGUAAAGGGUUAGAAAAUGCUUUGGAAGAGAAGAUAACAAAAACAAAACAUAGAGGAAGAAAGCAGAGUAUCUGAAAGAGAUGAGCACAUGAUCUGCGACGACAACAGAGGAAGAGAUGAAGAGCUCGUGUGAGAAGAUAAAGAGUUUGAAAAAUUUAGGGUGUAUAUUAAAACAAAAAGUUGAAAUAUUUAUAGAGACUAAAAACAUAUUUAAUCAACAAAAGUUUAUAAAGAGUUGCAUUGCACCCUUCAUCUUACAAACCGAUUUUAUGUGGUUGAGUUGCACUCAAUAUAAAAACCUAAUAUGGUAAUCGUUUGGGACCAUCUAUCAUUUAUAUCCACGCAUCAAACUCAAUAAUGUCAGGUGUGAUUUUAUAUUUUAUAAAGAGCGACUUCCAUCACCAUACAUAUCAGUUUUGUAAGAAUGCCGACUGAACAUAAAAACCUAAUAUCUAGUUACAUAUUUCAUUAAAAUAACACAUUUUGCACAUAUCACACAUCCAUUAUUUAUCCAAAAAAAAAAUCACACAUCCAUUAUACUUUUGCGCUUAAACCAUUAUAUUUUACAACUAAAUUAUAUAUUUUAUCUGUCUCAUUAUAAAUGUAUUAUUCGUUUUUUAUGUCUCAAAACUUUAAAAUAUCAAUAAACAAUUGAUUUACUUUUUAUUAGCCUAAAAAAAGUAAAAUUAAUAAGCUUUUGUAAUAAUGAAAUUCUCUUUUAUCAUUAAAAUUAACCCAACUAAUUAUUUACUUAAAAGUCGCGCCCAAAUCAAAACUCUUAUACUGGGAUAUCUUCAUCUUUGUUUUGGCCUAAAAUUUGGAGCAGCAAAUACUUCAUUUUAUGUUUUAUUUAAAUGGACAUAUUGGAUAAAUUACAGGCCGUGAAAUAUCAUGUCACAUACUUUUAUUUUCUUACAUACACCAUAUUAGUCAUUCAAAGUUCGUAUGAAUCUGCAAAAUCUAGUUUAAUUGUCAAUGUUGAUAUUGUUGGACUAGACAUAAUCAUUCGGAUUCUAAUAUGAUAUCUCAUAGUUGUGUUGUAUAUGAAUUUAUUUAUGUUGAUGUUUUUCAAUUUGUGUACAAAAAAGAAAAUGGAGGAGUUCUUUAGAAUAGUAAGAUAGGUUUAUAUAUAUGAAAGUAGCAUGUGAUUUUUUUUACUAUAUAGUACUUUUUUUAACUAUACAAUACUUGUAAGUUAAGGAAUCAAUCAUGCAAAUUAAAAUUAUAAUAUGAAUAUGUAAUUUAUAAUGAUUGUGUAUAAAUCAAUUAACAGAGAAAGCAGAAGACUUGUCAAAAAAAAAAAAAAGAGAGAGAAAGCAGAAGAUAUAAUAUGAAUAUGUAAGUUAUAAUGAUCGUAUAUAAAUCAAUUAACAGAGUGAAAGCACAAGAUAUGGACCUAAGAUCCUAUGGAAAAAUAAAAUAAAAAAAGAAAAAGAAGAAGAGACGAUUUAAUUUGAUAGCUAUACCAGCCCCAAAAGCAUAACAAAAUAUUAUAUUUUAAAACAUAAAUUGAGUAUCCAUUAUUACCAUUAUGCAACACUUUUAGUUUUCCUCAUGUCGCCUAGCGGGUAGAAAACUUGGAACAUAAUUGAUUUUUUGUUUUUGAAGGAUUGGAACAUAAUUGAUGAGGAGCUACAAGAUAACCUUUUCACUAAAAAAAUUCAAAAAGAAAAGAGAGAGAGCUCCAUUACACGUGAAAAAGAAAAAGUGGAUCCGGAUAUUCGUAAGACAAAUAGAUUAAAAAAUAAUUCCUGGCAAAAAAUAAAAUUUACUCAAAGAUAACUAUAUUUUAAAAAAUAAUGCUGUGUCAAAUAAUUGGAUUUUGGAAUAUUAUCAUAUCUUAAAUAAAGUUUAUAGAACGAUUCAUCAUUGAUCAUGUUUAAACUCGAUUACUUGGUUGAAGAUACAUUCCUUUAACAGUAGGGUAACAAAAGUAUUAAAUAUGACCCCUAAAAAAACAUAUAUUAAAUAUCAACCUAGUUACCGACAGAGAAAGAAAGGAUUACAUGCAACGACGUGCUCAUAAAGGAUCCAACGGCCACAAUUUGAUUAGAUAUUGUUGUCAAAAAUGUGACCAAGUAACUACGUGGUACAUGCACGUCACAAAUGGUAACAAAUGCAAAAGUCAAAGUAGAUUCACAUCAAUCAAUUCCACAAUACGUGUCCUUUGUGUUUGGUUUGUAGUUUUCUGUGAAGGUUCCCAGUUUGAAUGAAUACUUGCAAACAAAGUCCAAAAAUAUUGAUAGGGAAACCAUAGAAAGGUUAUCGAAAUUGAAUUUUAAUAUGUAAUAAUACGUACAAAUUUGUGUUUUAAGAUGUUACAAAUGAACGAAGAAACAGAAUAUGAUGCUACCAUUCACAUGCAUCAUGUGUUUUUCGUGCUUUUUUCCUUCGCACUAUAUAACAACAUUCCUCAAAAUGAAUCAACUCGUUUGUUCAAAUUUUGAAAAAUUCGUGAAUGAGACUACGUUGAUUCGGAUAGCUUGGAUUAUUGAGGACUGUUAUAUAAAACGAAAAAUGCCUCAUGAAUUAAUCUUUAGAGCCAAUCAAAUUUGCUUCCGGGCGGAAAACACGGGGGGUGGGAUGUUAAGUUGUGUUGAUAUAUUUUUCAACGUCAUGUGAUAUACAUCUUUGGGAUGAUUUCGCUUUCCCUUUCUAGCUAUACAUAUCAUUUCCCUUGCUGAUAAAUUUGAGUAGAUUUGUUUCGUUUGGCAUUUAGUAAUUUUGAGAUUAUGACAAACAUUUUUGAAAGUACAAGUAAAAAAAUGCUAUUUUUUUUUUCAAUACUAUCGUAGAAAGAUUAAACUUUAGAAGAAAUUACACUUGUAUUUUUGGAUAGUUUUAAAUCUUUAAGAAGUUAGAAUUUUGUUAAAAAAUUUAGCUUGAUAACCUUAGAAGUAUGGAUUCGUGAUGACUUUUGUAAUAUUACUUUUUUUUGUUUUGUUGCAACGUUAGAUUUUUGAAGUUUUAACAAAAAUAACAAUCAAAGUAACAUUGUCAUUGUGAUAUCGUCAAUUAUACACUAAUUUGAUAUUGAUCCAUCAUCUGAUAUGAAGACGUACAUGCAUGAUGUGUCAAAAUAAUUUUUAUGUCAAAAUAGCUUUGGUAGUUUCAAAAUCAAGAUCAUUAGUUAAACUUGAAUAAUCUCUCCCAUCCAAAUGUUUUUGGAUCUGAUUUUGUUGGAACACUCAACCUCAAAGAUCAUUUAAUUUUCGAGGUAUUUGUUUGCAUGCUAAUUUUUAGUGAAAAAGAUUGAUGGACACCCAAUGCAUCUCUCUCUCUGGUUGAAAAUGUAUGACACGUCUAUGGAAUUGGUGGAUGAAAUGUUUAAAUAUCACCAUCCUAAUUUUUUAGAAGGAUUCGAGAUUUAAUGUUUACAACUGUGUUUGAAAAUUUUGGGGUCUUAGGGUGCGUUUGUUUUGCUAAAAAAUGAAAGACAAGACAGAACAACUCUAAUUGUCCAGUGUUUAAUUUGUAAAACUGUUUCAGGUACAUGACAACUUGGAGGCAAGGGACAGGACCAAAACUCAUAUUUUUGUCCCUCACCAAACCACAUCACAACUUUUUGUCCCACGUACAAGUUGUCUAAAAUAGCAAAAUAGUUUUUAUUCCUCAAAAAUCGUAUAAAACAAAAAAUUACUCAAUGCCAUAAAAAAUUUGUCAUGUGUUGUUCUACCUUGUGUUGUAUUGUUCUAUCUUCUACUGUUCUGUCUAGUACUUGCUGUUUUGCAAACCAAACACAUCCUUAGAGUUUUGACAAGAUAAAUUAAUUACUCAAUAAAUCUAAAAAAAUCAAAUAUUUUUUAUAAAUAGGACCGGAAGGAAUACUUAAUUGUAUGCAAUGCCUCCCAUGUUUUUCGGUAAUGACCAAAUUCAAUUAGCUAAGCACUUUUCGGGAUGAUUUCUCCCGCGAGCAAUAGCAUUGCUAAAAAAAAUAUACAUACAUAAACUAUCAGUUUCAUACUAUUAAUCUUCUGAUUUGUUUUAGCCACAAUUUUAUAAUCAAGCAUUCUUAACAUUUCAUUCUUAGUAAAUAAAAUCUUUAAUUUACUAAAUCUGUUGAUGAUCUUAGAUAGAUUUGGAGAAAAUAUUAAAAAGUUAAACUAUAUUUGUAUGUAAAGGAGUAAAUAAUAGUUUUAUCAAUGUAAAAAAAUUAGUAAAUACGAUUUAUUGGGUCAAUUAGCUUAAUUGCAAGAAUCACAUCCUUUUUUAGUGUUCCUUUCUUUUGAGAUAUAUCAGGAAUUACUUAUAUAUGAAUAGAAGGCAAACGAACAAUAAGAUGCGUCGAUAGAUCUUUUUGAAUGACACAUACCUUAAACGCAAAGAAGUGAGAAAUCACAUACAUCGAAUAAUUCUACAACUAUCAAUUAAGUUGUGCGCACCAUUAAUUGAUGAUUACACUUCAAUCAACCUUUGGAAAGUUGUUACAAUGUUAAUUGAUGAUUACACUACAAUGACACACUUUUAAAAAAAUUGUGGUACACGGUUAAUUGAUGAUUCCAUUACGAGGAGACUUUUACAAAAGAGGAAUGUUAGCAACACUCUCUUUUGAACACUCUCUCUAGCACUCACUCUUUUCUUGAGUGAAAUUAAUGUAUGUCCCACCACUUUAUGUGAGUUGUAUUUCCAAAGUGUAGGUCCUACAUUAAUUUUAAUAAAAAAAUGUUUUACGGAAAAUGCUAAUCCUUCGAGGGGAUGGGAUUGAAUGAGAAUUUUAAAGGGGUAACUUUUGCAUAUAUUUGUUAAUUUUUUUAAGUGUCUUAUACUUAUAUUUUGAGUACUGCUAUAUUGUAUGAGAUUUAUCAACGAAAUUCAUGGAAUGCACACUUGUCCAAUUUUUAAGGAAUAAAAAGAGGGUUAUGAAGUUGUUUAACAUAAAUCAUGGAGUAGUGACCAAUUAUUCCGAUCCAUAAGCAUUUUCAUUAUCAUUUUACGGAUUACAUAGGAUUGUUAGCUUUGUGAAUUUGGAAUAAACUGCAUUCGUCAUUUUUCAUUGUGUGUCUCUCUCGUACCAUCAAGCAUUAUCAUUUUUUAGAUGAGUGUUUUUUUUUUGAAGAAAUCCUUACACGAUUUUUUAGGGUUAAGGCCUACUGCCUUAUGGUUUAUAAGGCCAUGCUUUGGAAGACCUGGAUUCUAUAGCUACAGAAUUGUUCUGCAGUUGUAGGAAUUGUUAUGUUAUAUUUCGAGAAAAUCCCAUUCUCCAAUGAUUUAAACACACCCUACUUUGGACCACUUCAUUUGUUUUAACAAAAAUUGGACCACUUCAUUGUAUCAUCUAUCAUGAUCUCGGUGGAAGGUCUCGUUCUCUCUCUCAUAUUUAUUGUACCACUUUAUAAAGAAUCCCAGGAUUUUCUUAAAAGAAUCCAUGACAUGCUUUAUUGGUGUUGACAUCUCAAAUUUCAUUUCAUACUAUUUUUAAGUAAUUUCACCACCGUAAUGACUCAAUUUUAUAUAUAGACAACCAUGUUAUGAAAGUUAUCAAUAAUUUUGAAAAUUAAUAUGAAAAAUUCCUAGCUUCUACAAACCUCAAAAGUGAAAGAUUGAGUUUCAAUGGUGUUUGGUUUGCCUUUUAAGAAUUGUUUCUAUCUUCCAUAAGAAACUCUCCUUAUAGCUACAAUUCAUAGCUUUUGGUUUUCAUAGAAUCAAUUCUACGUUAAAUUUUAUAUUUUCAUUAUUACAACCUAUUAUUUUCCUAUUUUGCCCUUUAUCAAUUCUCCUUCUGUUUGCUUUGUAAUUAACUUGAUGAACCAAAUUUAAUCAGAAAACUUAACGAACCAAAUUAGCCUCCGAAAAAUAUUUAUUGUCAUGAGUUACCAAAUUUUGGAUUUUCUUUUACGGUGUCCCCAUUCAGAUUUAGUGUAUUUUUUCCUUUACCUUUCUUUUACGCUAUAUUUUAUCAUUUUUAGCAACUAACUUUAAUAUUAUUUAACUUAAAUAUAUUUUAUCAAAAAAAUGAAAUAUAUGAACAAAUAUUUUGUAAAAAAAUUAGUUUAAUGAUCGUAUUUAUUAUGUUUUAAAUUAAUAUAUAGAAAAUUUAUUUAUAUUAAAUAAUAUAUCUACAUUUAAUUGAAUUUAGUUAUGUCGUAAUUAUACAUUUAAAAAUAAUUUUGAUAAAAAUUAUCCAAACAACAUUCAGUUUGUUUAAUCAAUUCUACAUUAUUGUAUCCAAAUAUAAACUAAUUCUCUCAAAAUUAAUUCUGUCAUAAUCAAUUUUAUCCAAAGUUUAAUCAAACGCAAAGUAACUUUUCCCAGAGCCAGUUUGUUCAUGUGUAUUUUUCAAUAAAGUGAUUGAUAUGGGAUUAAUAAAUAAAUAGUAACCAUGCACGACGUCAUCAUAGUCACAAUAUAUAUUCAAUCAGCAUUGUAAUGUAAAGGUAUAAAUCCUAUUUUUACGCCAUACUAUAAAUAGCAAAGAUGUGACCAUACAAUGUAAAUUUGAUUUUAACCAAAAUAUAUUGCAUGCACGCAACACUCGAUUAUUAUCAUUAAUUAUGAAAGACAAUCAUAUCCGGUAUACUUUGAAGGUGCCAUGCACUCCAAAUGAAGGAAAAGAAAUGAGUAUAGGCAAUGCUUUAGCACAUGGGGACGAGUAAGGGAUUUAUCUAGAUAGAUGCUGUCCUUUUUCCUUUCCCUCUCUCAUGCAUGGCUCUUGAAGUUAUGAGUGCAAUCAUGUGCAUGUCAUGUACAAACAAAAUCACGAAUAUCAUAUCAAAAGAGUAACGAAAUUUGUAUAAUAUAUGAUGACAAUUUUGUUACUCCUCUGUUCCGCAAUAAAUGACAUAUUUGAAUAUGUGCAAUUUUGAUCUAACUUAUUUUGACCAUAUUUUUCUACUAAUAUACAAAGAUAAAUAAUAUCAUAUAAGAUGUCGUUAGAUUCGUCUCGAUGAGUAUUUUCAAAAUAUCAAAUUUUCAUAAUUUUUUCCAAUAUAUUAUUCAAGAUAUUUAAACUCAAAAUUACGCAUUGAUAUGCGUAAUUGGAUCAACUGUGUCACUUAUUAAGGGACGGAGGGAGUACAAUUUUUUUUAUUGAUAAAAAACAAUAGAAAAAAAAAAAGAGAUGAUAAGAACAUGAGUAUGAGAGAAAGAGAGCUGUUCAAAAGUUAUUACAAAAUGAUUGUACAAAUAUAAGUGUAAAAUACUUGGUAAUAUCGUUUCACCUACGGUGUUAAGUUGGUUAUUCAAUUCUUACAAUGUUCUUGCUAGAGAAAAUGCGAGAACACUCUCAUUUUAAGACAUUUUCUAUCACUUAUUAUUAUCUUAUAUGAUAAAACUUAUAUAAGUUUCAUCACUUUACAUAUGAUUUAUUUUUAAUGUGUGAAACUCAUAUAAGUUUUACACCAAUUAUAAAAGAAUGAGUGUUAAAGAGAAUAUUAAAAAAAUAUUCAUAGCAUUUAUGGUUCUAAUAAAGAGUACUCCUAGUAUCUUCGCUGGACACAUGUGGUAAUUGAGAAAAUGAAAACGAAAAUAAAAAUUAUGCAUUAUUGAUUUUCUAUUUUAAUUAAAAUAAUAUUUUAGUCCAUUCAUUUGUUCUUCUUGUUUUUUUUUUUUUUUUAUUUUACAAAAAGAAACAACAUUCAUUCAUUUACAUUGAUAUAGUAUAUUAAAACCAAGACACAAAUUUAAGAAUUAAACUCAAACCUUAAACGACUAAUAUUGUGAGACGGAGAGAGUAUUGCUAAAAAUGAAAAAAAAUGAUGAAUCUGCAAACAAACUCAUAAUAUCUAAAUGUAAAUUUUGAAUCUAUAAUCAUUUUAAGCUAUGUAAAAAUGAAAAUUUUAUGAGAAGAAUGUAGUAACAUUUCUUUUCUAACUCUAUUCUUCUAAGGCCUUCACUUAAUCUUCAUGCGAAUAAAAACCAAAAUAUUUUGAUAGUAAGAAAUCGUAUUCUCCCUUUUAUGUAUUAAUAAUGUUUCUCUAAUCCGUCAGAAUAAUAUGAGAGUGAUAAUUUGGAGUUCGACUGUGAAGUAAAUAUAAUUGACUAAAAAUAUUUCAUUUAAGAAUUAAACUCGAGUUGUUUCGAAUGAUCUAUAAUUUGGUCGAGUUUAUUAAUCACUUGAACUCAAUUUUUUUGGUGGUGAUUGAGGUUUGAGCCUCAAACCUUGUUUAUAUUAUGUAUUGUCUCUACCAACUCAGCCGAACUCAUGAGGAUAAUCAUUUGAACUCAAUUGUUAAUGGAAAAACGUUUCUUUAAUUAAUUAAAAUUGUUUCUAUUAAAAUGGGAGCACGAUAAUUGCAUUAAUAAUGAAAAUAAAAAAGUACUGGUAUAAUUGAACAAAGGCCCCACUGUAAUUUCCUCAACGAAUGAGAAAGAAAAACAUUAUCCGAUCUAUUAUUGCUAUGGGAAGGACAAGGUACCGGGCAUUUAUGAUAAUUAAUUAAUUUUGCCUUUAUUUAGGGGAUUAAUUUUGCUUUGUUAUGAGUACUUUUCAUAGAUUUACAAUAUGCUUAAACAUGGAAAGGAGAAGACUAACGAGUGUCCCAAAGAUAUUGAUUAAGCAUACAAAACAAAUAAGUUUUCCUAAAAAAUGUGCAUAACAUCUUAUAUUUUUAAGACAAAACUUAUAUUACUAGAUUCCUUAACUAUUGCUUUUGGGGUAUAGGUUAGCAAGAUCCAAAAAGAAAAUAGAAAAAAAAAAGUCAGCAACCAACUACACAAAUGACGACAAGGGAUGACAAAGAUUACACUUUUGAGUAAAUUUAGGAAUUUGCACUUUCCACUUUUUCAAUUUCAGUCUUUUUAUACCAUCUUGGAUAUUACUCCAAUUUUUACCCUUAACCCGGCAGCUUUAAAUAGUCCCUAUUAGUAGCCAUCAGAUUGAUAAAUAGAAACUCAUUGAAUUAAUUUCAACCCAGCAGCUUUAAUCAAAAUUUCGUAUAGUUUGGUGACCAUAUUUAAUAGGUUUAACAACAAUUUUGGCCCCAUAUGUUUUAAUAAGUUGCAAUUUUGGUUCUCUACCAGAAUAAAAUACAAAACCGUCCCUUAAAUAUUACCCUUUUGCAGUUUUGACUCCAGACCAAUUUUGAUCAAGUCAAAGCUGAGUGGACACCACGUAUGCAUUGAUUUGGUCAAAAUUGGUAUGGGGAGCCAAAACUGCAAAAGAGAUAAUACUUAUGGGGCGGUUUUGUAUUUUAUUUUGUUAUGGGUCAAAAUCGCAACUUCUGGAAACAUUGGGGGCCAAAACUGAUAUUAAACCUAUUUAAUAUGAUGUAUACAUCCUUAUGUUUUUAUUAGAGUAAAUAGUCAAUUUCCC